AUUGAACGCUGGCGGCAGGCCUAACACAUGCAAGUCGAACGAGUGGCGGACGGGUGAGUCAUGUCUGGGAAACUGCCUGAUGGCGGGGGAUAACUACUGGAAACGGUAGCUAAUACCGCAUACCAUCGGAUGUGCCCAGAUGGGAUUAGCUAGUCGGUGGGUUAAAGGCUCACCUAGGCGACGAUCCCUAGCUGGUCUGAGAGGAAGACAAGACAAACUGGAACUGAGACACGGUCCAGACGCCUACGGGAGGCAGCAGUGGGGAAUAUUGCAAAAUGGGCGCAAGCCUGAUGCAGCCAUGCCGCGUGUAUGAAGAAGGCCUUCGGGUUGUAAAGUACUUUCAGCGGGGAGGCGUUACCCGCAGAAGAAGCACCGGCUAACUCCGUGCCAGCAGCCGCGGUAAUUC
rnacentral:rRNA from 1 species